GAGGCUGAGGGCGGGAGGGACCCAGGGCAUGAAUAAGGGCCUAGGAGAAAGGGCCCUCCGCUCCACCACUCCUUUAACUCUUCUCUGCACACAAUUGGCUCUCUCUCUGCUCCCCAAAGGACUGUGUGCAGCCAAUCCAUGGAGUGUCACCUGGGAGCCUUCCCCCAAUAACAAGGAUGACAAUGACGGCAGCUGAAUAUUCUUCGACUUCUGGCUAGUGAGAUAGGAAACAGGCACAGAAAGAUUGAGUAACUUGCUCAAGGUCACAUAGCUAGGAAGGAGAAAGCUGGCAUCAAACCCAGAAAAUACCUGCCAGAUGCAAAAACAAGUUAAGUGUGAGUAAUCUUGCAAGUGGUACAUCUCUAGAAUGGAAAGCUAUUUGACCAUUAAAAAAAAAAAAAAAGUCUUAUUGACAUCCAUAUGAUUUUAUUUACACUUCUCUAAUGGCUAACAAUGCUGGAGUUAUUCGCAAGCCCAGGAAUACAUCUUGCUGUGAUAGAAAACUAAAUGCUGCCCUCUGUCAGAAAUAAGAUGCAUAUUUUAUACUCUAGAAUUCAGGAUAUUUUUUCACUCUGCUUAUCCAAGACCUAUAGUCUCUACUGAACCAAAAGGGAUCCUAUUAACCAUAUGCCUGAGAACAUCUUUCUACUUUGACAAUCCAGGCACUUCCUGAGAGUCAGAGACUUACCUGUGUGGCUGAAUUUUAAAGGAAAAGGGCUGAGCCAGUGGCUACAACUAGAACAGAUCUACAGCAGCUCAGAUCAAGAGAAGACCUUCAGGUCUCAUCCUUGAGGACACUAACUUGGCCACCUGAAGUGUGAGGAACUGAGCAACUACACAUUCCUCAGGAGCUUCUGUCCCAUCUCUCCUCCCUGCAUAUCUUGAAUCUAGAAGUGUCAAUAUUUAGAAGUUUUCCCUGAUAGAUAGGGAACCAGGUUUUUAUUUGGGUUCUCAUUCUUUCUGGGCUCAAAUUCUUUGGAAUUCAACAUGUUUUGGAUGAUGUACACCUACAUUAAAGAUAGCCAAAAUUGCGUGGCUGAUUGUGGCCAAGUUUCUGUAAACACAAUGGUGCAUUCCCAAAGGCAGACGGUUUACCUGCUUUGAAAGUAAUUCUGGGACAUGGGAGAUCAUCUGUGACUCUAGAUAAGGAAACUCGAGUCCACUAAUAUGGCCUAAGACCUGGAAUGUGUAAUUUCCCUUUGUGGGCCUCAGCAAAAUCUGUAAAAAUGUGGUGACUGAACAAAUUACCCCCGAGUUCCCUCCCAGGUCCGACACCCUUCCAUCAGAUGACAACCCGUGGCGGAUUCAACCUUUGAAGGAUCAGCCUGCGGUUGCAGGGGUGCAGUUCCGUGAGACGCCACGAGAGGGAAGCCAGCAGAAAUAGCUGGAGCUGCUGGGGUUCCCGUGAGGAGCAAUGACUCAGGGAAGGAUUUCCAGGGGGAUAAGAAGUAGGCCUGUGGCUGCCACGGUUCCUCUGAUUGCCUCCUCUCGUGAUAAUGCAGGCUGGGCAUCCCCCAGCCCUGUGUCUCUGAUAGCCAGUGGUCCUCUAUCCUUGAAGAUUCCUCCAUCCUUGUCUCCUACAGGAAGACCUGAACUUCAGGCCUCUCCCUGUUUCAGCUGUGAAGACCAUGCGCCCCCUAGCGGCUGUCCCUGUGCCUUCCCUGAAUUUCUUCGCGUCUCUACUCCUAUCGCAUCACCUCAUACUCAGUCUCGGCUUUGCCUUCCCUACCUCCCCACACUUCCACCCCAGCGGGUCAGGAACACAGAUGACCAUGCUUUCCAAACAGAAUGACCAAUCACAGUCACAGCUUCCAAGGAGGGAGAGCCAAGAGCUGUCCCUCAGAUGUCUAUUCCCAAUGUCUCAUUUCUGGAGUCUCAAAAGGACAGUCUAGACAAACCACUGAAUGCUGUAUUCCUCCCACGCCUUGUGCUCUGGCAUUCCCCAGACCCUGGGCAUCAGGUUGAUAAACACUAUGCACUUUUCCUCAUCCUCUGCAACCCUUCCUAACUGGGUCAGGUCCCUCACUCACCAGGUAUGUUCCUGAAAUGGGUACUCUCCAUCCAUCAUCUCAUGUCACUCAGCCAAACUGCAAAGGCCCAAAGAAACUAUGACUGGCUCAGACCAUGUGGUUGGUCCUGCACUGACUGUGGACCAGGACCCAGGUUUACAGUCCCUUGCAGAUUGUCACAAUAUGGAACAAGCAAUUCCCAAAGAGAACCAGGGUAUUUAAGGGGCAAGAGGAUUGGAUUCUGUGGGGACAAACAGCAACCCAAAACACCACGGGUUUGUGCAUGUUCCCAUGGCACCCUUGCCCACCCUGGUCUUGGCACUUAUCAUUCUGGACAGUCAGGAGAUGUUUAUUGGCUCUUCUCACCGUUGAUCUGUGAGCAUUCUGAAGACAGGAGGGCUGUCCUGCCCAUAUUUCAGCCUCAACACCCAUGACCGUGCCUGGCAUAUGGUUGAUGAAUGAACCAAUAAAUGAGUG